ensembl:lncRNA
GUCACAAAGUGAGCACAGUAGGUUGGUAAUUAAUCUUUAGUUCCCAGGAAGAGAUGCUUAUCCUUAAAGAAGUGCUGAUAUGUGGGGGGAGCCACAUCCCUAUCUUUAAGGGCAUCACUCUUGUCUUUGGGACACUAAAUGUUUAAAGCAGAUGUAUAAUGCAUGCUCAACAGGCCACUUCAGGCCCUUUUGGAAAAAUAAGGUCAGGCCGAAUUAGUUUUACACUAAUGGCUUCCUCAUGUACUCCAAUACAUCCUAUUGUUUUUCAUUUAUUUAUCAUUAUGCAGUAUAUGCUCCUGGCUCAGGUAGGAAACCUAAUCAGUUGGCUCAUUUGGCCUAAUCAGGGCUCAGCUAAAAUGCAAGGCUGGUACUAAAGAGGAGCGACAUACAAUAAUCCUUAAUCCUCACCAACUAUGGGCACUGUUGUCUGAAAAACACGGAGGCUGAAAACCCUUAGUUGGCAAGAAGAAUGAAGGUCUUACUGAAAAUGACGUUUUUGAGGAAAAAUAAUUGAAAUCAUGCUAAAAAUUAAAACACAGUAAAGAAGACUUUCUAGAAAAAAAUCUCUACAUUCAAAAUAAACUAGUUCUGUUCAGGUUAAAGAUUUAAUCUCAGAGGCGGUCCUCCUCCCGUUGUUCAGGAGGAGUUGGAGCGGCUUCAUGAGCCGCUGCGGUAGAUUUCCAGUUUUGUGACAGCCCAACUCUAUCCCAUUUUAUACUGUUUGAACCUACCAUUACCAACUUGAAUUGCACUUUUGGUCUUACUUGCUUUAUUUUUGCAUGUCUUGACAAAAACGUGUUGGUAAUCACCUAGUCUUUUCAUGAAUUAUUGAGGAACUUACAAACCUGUUUUGUGGUGGUUACAAGGCCGCCUGCCCUUAAAUGGAAAUAUUAUCUCUCUGCAAUAUUUCGUAGGUUAGGCCAUAUGACCUGGGCAAAGAGAGAGAGUAGCAAGAAAUAAUUUCUAUUAUGUUCUCUUGCUUAAGAGGACUAAAUAAAAUCUCAAGGAUUAAAAACAAUGUCAUGACUUUGAACAUUUCGACCUACAAUUAUGAACCAGUACUAAGGCUAAUCCUUAAAUUGGCAAGAGAUGAUGAGAGCUUUUUACUACAGGUCACGCUUGAAUUAAGUAGAUAUCUCUCUCCUCCCAUGUCUUUCUCUCCACCUCCCAUUGACCCCUCCCAAACAUUUUCGGGGGAUGCUGAGCCAAAACCAUGGUUGUAUGGAGUGAGGCAAAUAGCGGGAGCAUCUCCUACCACAGUUGCAGAAGGGAGGAGUUUGGGGAUGUGCAAGUUGGGAUCUGUGGAUAAUUCAACUGGAGAAAAGGUCUAAAUGGGUUGUCAAAACAAGGAGGGCCUGACGCUUGUUGGGGAAUCAGAUAAGAGAGUCAAGGUGUGAAAGAGAGAGACUGAGUAAAAGCAGUGGUAGGAAGGAUGAUGUGGAGGGGCUUCUUUGGGUGACUGUCAGAGAUAGGGAAGAGUGGAGCAUGGCUGCGCUUUUCCCUGUCCCUUGUGGUGGGUUAUUUGAUGGUUGGAGCCAUAUUAAGGUCUGGGGUUGAAGCCAACCAACCAUCUUCUUCUCUUCGCUCCUUUCGGCCCCUUACUUGUACAUCCUCACUUCUCCUGAGCCUUCCCUUCCCACAUGAUUUCCUGUCUCUGCUAGAACUUUGAUCUGAUUUAGAUUUUCUGGUAUAUCUGAUAGUCUUACUGUGCCAGGGCCCAGUAUCAGUGCCUCGUGUGCAGGAGGGAUGCAGGUGGGCAUGGGAUGGGGGAGAGGGAAAAUGUCACCCAUAGCUAAGGCUCAUUUCUAAAGGAGCUUUCUGCAUCCUUGAGGCCCACGCUGAACAUCCCCAAACCCCUGAGGUUUCUAAACAUUCCUGUUGGUAAUAUUCCUCCAGAGAUGUAGUGUGAUGUGGAAGACAGAGCACUGGACUCAAGUCCAGGUCUCCAGCUUCCAGUCCAAAGUUCUGUCCACAACACUGUACUUGAAAUCUUGACCAGGCACAUAAAACAGAAGGUGCAGAGUCUCUUUCUUUAAGUAGCAUGCAACAUAGUAAAGAGGAUGGCACUAACAUCCAGUGCAAUGAGAGAACAAUGCAAAAAUGAUGAAGAACUUGCAAGGUGACUUGAGUGUGGUCUGGCGUAUAGAUGCUGGGGAAAUCUGGAGGAUUAGAGCAGGAGGGUGCUGGGGGAGCUCAUCUUUGGAGCCAGGACCCAGACUCCAGGAGAAAGUUCCACAUGCACAUUAUGAUGAGGAGGAUAAAAUAAUCACUAUAAUGAUAAUAAGCCAACUACUAUUUUGAGUGCCUAUUAUAUGCCAGGAUAUUAUACUAGGUGCUUCAUUUUGGAUUAGUUUCUAUUUAUCCUUGUACAUAUCCACAAUGUAGAAAGUGUUAGCUGUAUUUUAUAGAUGGAGACCUUGAAACUCAGAUUAAGAUUCUGACCAAUGUCACAUAGCUAGUACUGGAUAGAGCAGGGGACAUGUCCCACAUCUGCCUGCUGAUACUCCUGGUGAUUUGGCUGUUAUACUGCAGUGUCUGAAAUCAGCAAUGAAAUCUUAGUCCAAACUCUUUUACUGAAUAAAGUGAAAGCAAGUCAGUCUUUCAAGAGGGCCAUCACUCUGAAUUUCAAGUUAUUUCCCUUGCUUCUUCAGUUCAUUUAUAAAAGACAUGGCCGCAAGCAUCCUCCCAAUAGGAUGCUUAACCAGAGAGUAAACUGAAGACAGGAGACUCUGGAAUUUCUUUAUGUGCCUUAUUUCCAACUCCCUUACUGGGCUCAAGAUAACCUAUUAAGCCAUGUGGUCAAAAUAAAUUGACAGAAAUAUUUAUUAUUUCAAUUUACAUUCUAAAUCUUUCAUCUCUCUUAUUGAUUUUAUUUAAGAAUCUAAGUUUAAUUACUAAGUGACAUACUAGUUAUUAAUUCCAUUUGUUUUUGUAAAAGAAAGCACUGUAAUUGGAAUAUAAACCUCGCAUGCUCCGUGGUUGGCUGCCUUCAUUUCAGCUGUGUAGGAUUGGUCUGCUCCAGAGGUAGCAUCUUCUCCUGGCAGCAGGGACACCUCCACUCUGAGCCAGCCUUGGGGUAUCACCCCCUCUGGCCUUGUUCAGUUUGUUGUGACAAGAGAAGGCUUUUUGUGAUGCUGCUUUUGAAGACAUCACCAAACUAUGAAAGCCAUGGAGAUGGUGUGUACACUGUGUGCAUCCAUGAGGAAUGAGGGGAAUGGUAUGUGAUCUAAGUAAGAGUGAGUGUGUGUGUGUGUGUGUGUUUGAUAGAGAGAGGAUAAAAACCAGCAUUACUGAGCACCAGCUUUCUGCCAGGCACUGCUAGGUGCUUUACUAAAUCACACAUCAUCCUCACAAUGUUGAAAGGUAUGUGAUACCAUCACCAUGUAAUAGAGGGGAAAACUGAAACUGAAAGGAAAGAGACUUACCGAAGGCUGCAGAGAAAUCCAGCUGACACCCAAGCAUGACCACCUUCCUCUACAGCUUGCUCAGAUAUUUACGGAGAGCCUAACCUUGUGCUAGUGGAGUCAGGAGGGGCAUAAGUCUGCAAAGUGGGGAGACGACAGAGCAAGACUUUGUUCACAAUCAUGGAACAUCUACACUGAGAAAAAGGGCCCAAGCUCCCUGUUUACCAGUUAGGAGUCAAAGCCAAAGGCUUAACUGAAGUAGUUUUUGCUAAAAGAACACAACUUUUAUAUUCCAAAGAGUCAAAACGUGAUUUUAUUCAGCAUGUAAUUCUAAGAAGUGUGACCAUUUAGAAGUCCUACUGGCAGUAAUAUAAAAUAAAGCAAGGGGAGAUGACACUGGAGAGUAGGUGAUCUGACUAUGAAGACAAAAAUAAAGUCUACAGUUGAUAUAAAUCUAAGCUACCUCACACCACGAGAACAUAUAUUCAAACAGUAAACAUGAGGCAUCAAGAGAAGAUCAGUUUAUGUUAAGAAACAUGUCUUUAGAAGAUCAGGAAUUGUUAUUACACAGUAAAAAUAUUUCCAUCCAAAAUGGGAAUAUGUGGUUACAAAGAGAGUUAUAGACGUGAAUAUAAUAUACCUGAAGUUUGAAGCUUCAGGUCAGAGCAGUAGGUAGAGUGGAAACGCCCAUCCCCUUGAAUUUAGAAGAAAUUUGCUGGAGUCCAGGCUUUCCCCUUGCUGGCCAUAUAUUCUUGCACUUUACCAAUCUGUUCUGUGGUUUUUCCCUUUAUACAAUGAAAAAGACAACCCUAACCCAUCUUAUCUCCAAGAUGGCUACCGAUGUGUUUGAUAAAUUCUGAUAAUCAUGGUCAUGGUCACCAUCAAGAAACUCUCCUUAUUUCCUGGCAAUGCAGGCUUUAAAAAGUAGCACUUGGAUGUGACUGGUAAUCCCAUUAUAGAUUUCUUCUUCUCACUGUUUCCAGAGUCCUCUCAACCCCAGGCAAAGAGAAUUUUGCAUUUUGGCUUUUACAAGGGAUGUGGCUAUGAACAUUUUGUGCACACGUUCUUGCAUUUCUUGAAUACAUUUGCCCAGCAAUGAAAUUGUUGAUAGAAAGGAUUUGUACAUCUUUGGGCCUGAUAAAGUGAAACAGCUAUUCUACCAGAGACAUGGGUUCGUUCAGAUGACUUGUGGGGUCACUACCAUAAUCUAAUGAGGUUGUCCUAUUGUGGCUUAUGUGUAAAUCCAUUUCCCUGUAAGUCUUCCCUGGAGGAGUCAUUCCCAGGACGAGAGUUCUUAAGAUAGGAAAUUGGACUGGAUAGGAAGGCCUUAGAUGAAGAAUAACACCUGCCUCUUUCCAGUCCUCCUUCUCAAGUUAUAGCACCUGGACAAUCUGAGACGACAGUUUCCAAUCAGGGGUGGGAAGGUUCUGAUCCUGGCUCUUUGUCACUAGCUUGCAUUCAGCUACCUUCUCACUGUGAUCAGGACUGUCUCCCCUGUUGGACCAAGAAAGUCCAAUGAGAGGUUUUGGAGACCGUAUUUGUCUUGGAUCCAAAUUUUAUUUCCAUAUAAGGCCCUCACUUGUCUGCUUCUUCUCCCACAUACUCUAGCUUGGCAUAACAUUUGAUUCUUCCAACUCUGCUGACUCCACGUUACCAGAUGUACAAUUCAUGGUGGAAGAGAGCCUCCCUUCCUUAGGAAAGUUAAAUGUUCCUUCUCACUCAGCUCCAGACUCAUCAGUUGAAGACUUCUCUAUUUCCUGUAAGACCAAACAGGAGGCUUCAGCACAUAGCCAAUACUUCUCUGAAUUUUUGUAUCACCUCCUCUAAAGCUAUAUCUUUGAGGGUACAUGAUCAUCUCUGCAAAGUCAGUAUAAGUUAGUUGGUUUCACUAAAGUUUUUCAAAUGUAGGACCGAGAUCUGUAACUUCUCAGCCUGACCUAGGAGAGUCUUAUCGCUAUUUUUUACUGACUCCAACAGUUGAGCCAAUUCCCCAUUUUAGGGUCUAUUUUAAGAACUCCCACUUCUUGCUGCCUAAUUCUAUAUCAGUUAGGAUUCUUGAAGAGAAUGAGUCUCCUCCGUUCUUCGCCCAGCAAAUACAACACCUCCUUUUUAUUUUAAAUAGCUUGUAAUAUCCCCUUUACUAUUCUGCAAUUGAAUUCAUAGUUUAAUCCACUGAUCAUAUAAUUACGAAAAUAUAUCAUGCCCUAACAGCAGUGUAGUGGAGACAUAAAAAGAAGGUAAUUUACAAUAGAAAGAUACAUACAUAUUGAUAUGUAAAUGUCAUCUCACAAUUACACUGGUACCCAUGAAGAUGUUUUCGGGAGUUUGGACCGGGAGAUAGAAUUACCAUGAGUAUGACAGCUAUAAAUGCAGACUAAUAAAGGAGUAUUGUGUUGACAACUCAAGCCCCAUUGGUGCCAUUGCCAUUGGUGACAUGAUUUUCUGAAAAGGUGAACAAAUCUUGGAAGACUUUCAAACGAAAGUACAAUCUUCCCUUGAUUUAAACAAUGGAAAAUUUGGUGUGUAUUAAAACUAUACACAAAGUAAAAAUACUUUGUAUGUAUGUGAAAUGGAGUUAAGCUCUAGGCUCAGAUAAUAAUAAAUAGGUUUAUCACCUACCUGGAAUCCCAGUGGGUCACUAAGAAAUUGUGCUGGAUGAAGGAAGAAUUUUUGUCAUGCAAGCUUAUCCCAUAAAUUCUAACUUCCUUGAUCUCCAUACAUUAAAUGCCAGGCUCACCUCCCAAUUACUGUGAUAAUAAAGACAUCCUUACAAUUUUCCAAAAUGGCCACCCAUUGAUGAACAGCUUUAGGUCAACUAAAAAAAAAUUAGAGGGGAUUGCUGUGAUUGUCUUUCAGUCCCUCUGUCUGCAAGAGUUUCAACCUAAAUCUAGCAGCAAGAUGGCUGCAGUACUUCUGGGAUUCUCAUCUGUACAAAACCUCAUCCAGAGGAAGAGAAACACCACAUGUUCUGGUGGCUCUUUAUAGAAAAGAAACUAUUUUUGCGGAAGUACCUGGAAAUAUCCCUUAGGUCUCAUCAGACCAAGUUGUAGUCUUAGAAUUCCUGAACCAAUCAAUAGAAUUACUCUAACCAAUCAGACUCACUCCUGGAACUGGGAGUGAGGUCAGCUUUCCUUAAAGCACAGAUGUGGAUGGAAAUGUGUGGAUAUCUGAAUAAAAGUCAGGAAUGAAGGGAGAAAUGGAUUCUGGGUAGGCAACCAAAAUGUUCCCUGCAUAUUUGCAGAGUUGAGGAUUGAUUUUAUUCAGGGAGAUUCCAGGUUUGUUGGUGCCUUGAAAGACCACCUGGGCCGGAGGUUACAUAUAUGUGUGUGCAAUGGAUUCCAAAGGCAUAGUUGGAGUAGCUGAGAAUGGGAGGUGGGAGCCCAGGAAAGGAGGAGGCGGGCGCCACAAGUCUGGACGAGCUGCCUUGUAAAAGGAUCAAAGCUCUUUGAGAUCCCUCUGCCAAAGCUCUUGCAGCGUGUGACAGGAACCCAGGUGAAAGAUGGGUGUGAGUGGAACUGAAAGAGACCCCUUGAUGAUUUCCUGAGGAAAUUCACCUGUUUGGCAAUGACUUUGCUCCGCAAGUUUUCCUCCUGCAUCCACAUGUCCUCAUCAACUCCAAACUCAAAGGAAAGCAUGAUGGUUGUGAAACUGAAAAGCAACUUUCAGCGUAUGCAGAUUUGGAACUCAUAAUGCCACCAGCCUGAAACUACUGUUAAUAUUUUGGUUCAACUUCAGUUAUCUGGAAAAGGCCAAGAAGCCAGAGGAGUGAGGCAUUGUUUCAAAUCAUAAACUGACAAGAUUUGAUUAAACGUCAUCAUUUGCCCAGCAUUGUACGUGUACAAUGAAGAACCAAAGACUGGACUCUCAAGGAAGCAAAGAGACAAAAGUGACACAGCCACAAUGCUCAGCAUGCAAGUUAGCACCCAACUGACGGGCCCAGAUCAUGAGAAUUAUAGGCCCUUAGCACACUGAGGAGAGACUGGGGAGGAUCGAGAUUAGUAAAGAGAAAUAGAAGGUUCUCUAGCCAAUGGAGACAACUCAAGCAAAGGCCCUGGAAUGGGACUGGCAAGAAGAAGUGAGACCAGCCGAGUUCAGUCGAGGAACGGGUAGGAUAAUGUAUCUCAUGGAUCUUCCUCGAAUGCCUCACCUCAGAAAGAUCUAACACAACAAAUAAAACAAAAGCAGUGAAGAUAGCGACCUGUGAGGACCAAAGCCAUCUAUGCAGAACUCCAGGGAGCUUCUGCACCGGCAACCGGCACAGAGAGUCAAAAUCCUCUUCUGCCUUCUUCACUUUUCUCAGUCCUCAGGACACCAAGCUUCUAACUGACCAUGCUUCCAUAGCAUGCCCACACUUCGCCUGCACUUCCUUUAGGCUGACGUCGACACUCCCCCUGCCAUGCAAUGCUCUAUACUCCCAGGUGAAGAGUUUCCCUUCCCACUGGGCUGGAUGAUUCUGGGACCUAAGGAUCUGCUCAGAAGAGCAGAUGCUCAGUGAGUGCAUAUUAAACAGCUCUAGUGCUCCUUCCCUGGUUUUAUAAUCUGGUCCACAAAAUUCCUGGUAGCCAUCUUCAACAACAUUGCAAAACAACAUGGACCUUUAAAAGAAAGUCUGAGCAUCAGUUAACACAACUUGAAUACAAGAAAUCCCAGCAGCUCACAAUCUUUCACCCUUUUCCAAAACAUCCUGUGGGUCAGCAACAUCCCUCUAACAUGCAGAGUGAAAGGAAGAUCUCCUCUCAGAUCUUACUGCAGGCCCCCCAUUGGGGUCUUUGGGAGAUAGUCACCCAAAUGGCCUGCAUUUGAAGUUGGCAAGACCACCCCAGAAACAGCAUCUGUCCAUGUUCCUUUCACCAAGAUCCGUGGUCUGCUGAUUGUUGAGACUUGGGUUCAAGUGUUGACUUCCCUUUUUUUUUUCUUAAAGAUUUUAUUUUUCCUUUUCCUCCCCAAAGCCCCCCGGUACAUAGUUAUAUAUUUUUAGUUGUGGGUCCUUCUAGUUGCAGCAUGUGGGACACCGCCUUAGCAUGGCCUGAUGGGUGGUGCCAUGUCCGCACCUAGGAUCCAAACCAGCAAAACCCUGGGCUGCCACGGUGAAGUGCGCAAACUUAACCAUUUGGCCACGGGGCCGGCCCUCUUGACUUCCCUUUUAUGGGCUAAAGUUUUGUCAACUCACUGUACCUCAGUGACAUGGCGAGUGUCCCUUCUGCUUGUGUCAUCCCUGCCUCAGUCUUUCCUGCCCACGUGCAGUGUUGCGCUGCAAUACAACAGGGAGAUGGGAAGGGCUUGCUGAGUCAAACUGGAGGCCAAGCAGAGGCAGCUUUGCCUACGUGAAGUGCUCCACCCUCUCAGCCUUUCCUAUUGAAACCACACUCUCACUGACUCUCUCUUCCACUAUCAGCUUCCAGACAGAUCCGGUGUCUCCAAAUGCUCUGUUCUUCUCAGGCAAGACUUUCAGCUGCACAGUCCUACCUUCUUUCUCUUUUCUUUCUUUCACACCCCAUAACCAAAUCUGGUCAACUAUAUUUUUAAAUCAUAUACCCAAACCAAUCACUUCUCACACCAUUCGUCACUACCACCCUAGUAGCCAUCAUCAUCUCUCAGUUGGAUUAUUUCGACAGUCCCCAAAUUGGUCUCCCUGCUUUCACCCUUGUGCUGACUGCACAUAAGAGCCAGGGGGGUCCAUUUGAAAUGUAAGCCAUGUCCUGUCCCUCCUCCUCCAGGGGCCUUCGAUUUACUCAGAGUAAAAUCACCUUCUCUCUAAAGGCCUUACGGCCCUAUGAUCUGGUCCCCAUCUCCUACUCUCCUCCUGCUUAGACUCCACCCACUCUGGCCUCCACACAGCCAGGCACCCUGCUACCUCAGGGCCUUUGCAUUUGGAUUAUUUUUCUGCUUGAAAUUCUUUUCUCCAAGAUACCCAUAUAAUUUGUUUCUUCUCUUCUUCCCAGGUUUGCUCAAAUGUCACCUCAUCAGAGAGUACUCUCUGACCUCCCCAUGCAAAAUGCACCUCCAUGGAAGUCUCUCUCUCCCUCUUGCUGAUUCAUUUUUCUUCCUGGCACUGAGGGCCAGCUAAUAUUUUAUAUAUUUAUUUAUCUCUUUACUGUCUUUCUCCACCCCACCCCCACCCCCCCAAGCCUCCAGAAUGUUAGUCCUUUAAGUACUGAGAUUUUGCUUUUUACCACCAUAUUCCCAGAGCUUAGAACAGUGCCUACCACAUUAAAGUGCUCAAUAAAUAUUUGCUGAAUGAAUGGUGAACCAAUAGAAGGUUUCAGGACGCUGUGUUCUGUCAUAUUUUUGUGUCAUAUUUUUCUAAAUGAUUUCCAAAAUUAUCAGGGGAUUCUCCAUAGGACCUGUGCUCGAUCAUUUUAAGGAACUAUGCAAACUUGAGUAGACAUCAGGAGACCUGUGAUUGCAUCCCAGCUGUGGGGUUUCACCUACCUGAGGCUCACUUUCUUUCCUCUGUAAAAUGGACAUACUAAUUCCUGUUUCGUUUCUAUUACAUUUGCAAAAGCCAAAGUCGUGGAGGCCUCCCAUGGGCUGUAGUCAAAUAGUGACCGGAGUGGCCAUCCCUCUCGUCUCGAGAAAGUUGAGUUCAAUGAAAUGACAAAUGAAGGGAAGGAGUGGUCGUAAAUUUUGUCAACUGUGAGUUGCUAAUGACCCAGCAUGAGCAUUCUUGCUCAAGGCCACUCAGCUACAAAGAGGGUGUCCAUAAAAGGAACUUCUUGUCCAUUGAUGCCCCACCCCUGCAUAUUCUAGUGGGUGUUUUCAGGGCCCCAACUGAACGCAAGCUUGCAUUUGUGGCGGUUGCCUAGCACUUGGCUGAAUCUUCGUGAAGAGUGUUUAUAGGCCUAGAACACACACGGCAACCUGUCCUCCUCUCCAACCUUGCAGACCUGCUACAAUAAUUAAAUGAGAUAAUGCUUGUACAGGGCUUCACACAGCAUCAGAAAUACAACUAUUGUUAGCCUAAACCUGCUAAACUUUGACUAAUGCCAAAGCUGGUGUAUAACUGGUACUAGAAAGAACUUGGAGGGAUGAAGAAAAAGGAGAGAAGAAGAGAAUAAAAAAGUAUUUUUUUAUUUCAUCUACAAAGCUAUAUUUUCACUUUGUGUAUUUAAGCAACCAGAUAUUUCCCGAACAUGUUUAGAAAUCACAGAGAUGCUGUGUAAGACACAGACCCUGACCUUGAGCUAUGCUGUAGGAAGACUAAUUCAGAUGUGGGUUAUAGGAGAGACUAGAACAGGGAUAGGCUGAAGGCAGGGGCACUGGAUGUUGGCUGUUGUGGUUCAGGUGAGAAAUUGUAUGGGACUAAAAGCUGAUGGUCACAGUAAGGAUGGUGAAGAAAGAAAAAAUACAAGGGACGUUUGGAGGGAAAAUAUGAUAGAGCUUUGGUGACAAGUUUUCGUUCCCUAACCACUUCAUUCCUUCAUUUCCUUUUACUGUGCUUUAGAUGCCAGGCUCUGCAGCAUCCACUGGAAAUGUAAGGAUAUGAGCAUCAUGAGAAGUUGCAUUGUUUUGUCCUCCCACGAGCCAGAUAGAGUAUUAGGAAGUCUAUAGACAUCAUGGCAUUUAAUGUUCAGAAGGUCCCUGUCACUCAGAAUGGUCAUUCCCACUCUUAGUUACAGAAACUGGAGCUCAGAGACAGAGGGUAAACAACAUGCUCAAGCCACACAGCAAGGCUGAGCUGGAGUUAAAAUCCAGGUGUGUGAAUUCUAAGCCUGGCUCUUUCUACUGCAUCAGAGAUGACUAGGGCACGGCUCAUGUCACCGAAGGAGCUGGAGUCUAGAAAGCUGAAAGUGGGGGGCAGAGAUGAUGGAAGGUUGUAACAGGGCAUACCGAGAGCCUCUGACAUAGAAGAAAGGGUCAGAAGGAGAAGGAAAAUUCCAAUACGUUUAAGCUGUUGAAUCUGAAGGAUUUAACUUGCCACCAACUCUGCGAGAAGGCAUGGGCUGUACUUGAGAAGUGGCUGGGCUGUGCCUCCACAGGUUGGGGGCACGAAUUCUGGCUCCUCCACUCCUUGCUGCAUGACCUUGGGCAACUGACUUUUGUCAAUGGGGCUGGGUUUUCUCACCCACCAGGAAUGUUGGACUAAGCAUUUCCCAAAGUCCCUUCCAUGUCUACGCUGUGGUAGCACAUGAGCGGGCUGAUUAACAAUGAGAAGUGAAUAGGAGGGAGAUUCAGCUGGCUUUUUUUGAUCUUUUUUCUUUGAUCAAUAUUUCAAAUGAAAACAUGAAAUGUUUCUUUCAUUGCUUUCCAGUUCAUCCCUAAAGUGUGAGACACGGAAUCAAAAGGUUGGGGUCCUGGAAGGAUGUCUACAAGGAAUCUCAGGGGGAAACCAGGCGAGGAGCCUAGACUAGGCCUUCUUCUCUGGAGCCCAUGACAUCACUCACAUUUCCCUGGAGUUUUGGGAACAGAACAUACCAUUAACUUUAUCUGAGUAGAGAGAGGCGCAGUUGUAGACAACAGGAUGCCCACGGAUAAAGGAUGCAGCCUGGCCCCCUGCUCUCAGCACUGCAAAUGGGGAAUGGAUGAGCCAGGAGAUGGGGAUGGGGUGAAAAUGGAUGUGGAGAAAGCACACACUUCUCCCAGCUGACACUCAGUGCCUUUCAGCCAGCACUCCAUGUGGGUGAAUGGGAAAACUGAAUACCCAGCUAUAGCCGGAGGCAGAGCUAUUAUGCGCGUCUGGGCGAAAGCAAAAUUGGGGCCGAGAAUGGACUUCUGUUCAGGCAGGACUUUCAAAGGGUUUGGUGCCCACACUGAUAGUUUCUGUUGGCACCAACGAUGUCUGUUCACUUGAAACUGAACCUCGCCAUUAACUCGGUUUCCGCCUACCUGCUUUCUCUGGCUCUCUCUUUCCUUAGACUUCACUGAACAAUAUUAACAAAUAGGACAUUUUUUUUUACCCAAUUUCUGGUGAAAAUACAUUAGACUCCUAACAGGAGUGUGCUCAAGCCAGCUUAUGAGCUGACUGUUAAGUUUUCAGAAAAUUUUCUGGCUGGUUGUUAAACAUAGCCGUUAUAAAAAUUAAAUUACAUAACAAUUAAAUAAAUUAUAACAAAAACAAGAGUCAUAAGUACUCAAAAUCACCAUUUCUUAAUUAUUUUACCCCAUUUUACUAUUAUCUAUGUUGUUGAGGUUACUUACAUCUGUGUGGUGAAAAUAUUAUACAAUGGUGUGCACGUAUUUUCGCAACUCCGUGUUCAGUGAAUUUAUCUUGGUAGCUCUAAAUUGGUCAUGGUUGGAGGUAUUUACAUCAUGAAAAUCUGCAAACAUUACAAAUCAGGGCUUGAUUUAUUGAUUUGUUGAUUGUCUAGACAUCAGGGAAUGAUGGGUAAAAUGCUAAUAAUGGAAAUUAAAUUAAAAGUGGAGCCAUUGCAUUGUGAAUAACACACACAAAACAUGGAGCAGUAUUAUUUUAGUAUUCAAAAACAAUGAUCUGAGUCAGCAAAGAAGUUGCUCAUGUCAUUGACAAGUAAGUGAGAUGCCAACACAUACCUUCGUCGUUUCACUUUCAUCUUACUCAUUAGCUAAAAUGAAAGUAUCAACUCAUACUCAUGUCUAAGCUACAUGCAUUGUUCAUCAAUAGCUAUCAUAAGUUGGCAACAGAUGCACGAGUUUGGCAAAAAUCAGUGAAAGCAUUCUGUGGGAAUUGAUUGCCUAUGUGGAAUUUACAACAAAGAAUUGUAAAUUACAUACUACACAUAAUUUAUAUUAGUAAAAUUUAUAAUCAACUUAUGUAUUAUAUAUAUAUAUAUUCAAUUUACGUACACAUCUAUAUCUCUAUUUCAAUUUUUUCCUCCCAGAGCGCUGGUUGGCACAUAUUGACCAGCAUACCACUAGCUCUUAGGGUCAUCGUUUGACUGAUAGGAAAAAGGAGACUUAUAUAUAAUGUCGCUAUUUGUGACUUUGGGCCCAGACAGCACUGGGCCCAGAGUAGAUACUCAAGUUAAGCGACUUGGAGACUAUAUCAAGAUUUUAUAAUGUUAUUAGAUUAUAUUAAAGUACUCUAUCAUUUUUAUCUCCAGUGCUUUCUAUUGACUUGCUAACAUAGCCAUUCAUUCCCUAUCUCCAAAUAAAAAUUUCUGCCUACAGUCUUUGACACUGAGGAUUCCUAGCAGGGUAGAAAUGUGGAAUGAAGUUGGAGCCAGAGGCGUAGAGCUUAGAAAGAGAAAGCAGGCUGGGAGCUUUCUCCCUUGAAAGCUUAGGUGUCCUGGGAGUGAGAUUCCACGCCAGAAUAAGUCAGCAGACAUCAUUAAAGGCUGGACUUCUGGCAGCCCCUUGCAUCAAACUAUUUUACCUCCCUCUGAGUACACACCAAGCACUCUAUAAAUGCAGAGUCCACAGGGAGUCAACACAAGACUGAUGAAGAGAGUGCUCUAUGUCUUCUUUAGUGCUCAGUGCUUUAUAUCCAUUAACUUUCACCCUUAAAUAGCCCUCUGCAGCCAGUAUUAUCUGACUCCAUUUUACAGAUAAGUAAAAGGGGCAAAGAUGUUAAGCAUCUUUUAACAACUAACAUUUAGCAGGUCUGAUUGUUAGCUGACCCUCGUUUAUGGGCCUCUCCAAUUCCGAUAGCUGUCUUCUUGCUCCGCACCACUGUGAGGGAGGUGGUACAUGAGAGCUGGUGCAUGGGUAGAGAAGGAGGUGUGGGC